rnacentral:rRNA from 1 species
GCGUUGCUCGGAAUCACUGGGCGUAAAGCGCACGUAGGCGGGUCGUUAAGUCAGAGGUGAAAGCCUGGAGCUCAACUCCAGAACUGCCUUUGAUACUGGCGACCUCGAGUUCGAGAGAGGUUGGUGGAACUCCGAGUGUAGAGGUGAAAUUCGUAGAUAUUCGGAAGAACACCAGUGGCGAAGGCGGCCAACUGGCUCGAUACUGACGCUGAGGUGCGAAAGCGUG